rnacentral:rRNA from 1 species
GGAGCCUGAGAAACGGCUACCACAUCCAAGGAUGGCAGCAGGCGCGCAAAUUACCCAAUCCCGACACGGGGAGGUAGUGACAAUAAAUAACAAUACGGGGUUCUUUAGGAUCUCGUAAUUGGAAUGAGUACAAUUUAAAUCUCUUAACGAGGAACAAUUGGAGGGCAAGUCUGGUGCCAGCAGCCGCGGUAAUUCCAGCUCCAAUAGCGUAUAUUAAAGUUGUUGCAGUUAAAAAGCUCGUAGUUGAAUUUCGGGGUUAGUAGGUUGGUCAUGCCUCUGGUAUGUACUGGUCUCACUGAUUCCUCCUUCCUUAUGAACCGUAAUGCCAUUAAUUUGGUGUUGCGGGGAAUUUGGACUGUUACUUUGAAAAAAUUAGAGUGUUUAAAGCAAGCUAACGCUUGAAUACAUUAGCAUGGAAUAAUGAAAUAGGACGUUCGAUCUUAUUUUGUUGGUUUCUAGGAUUGACGUAAUGAUUAAUAGGGAUAGUUGGGGGCAUUAGUAUUCAAUUGUCAGAGGUGAAAUUCUUGGAUUUAUUGAGGACUAACUACUGCGAAAGCAUUUGCCAAGGAUGUUUUCAUUAAUCAAGAACGAAAGUUAGGGGAUCGAAGACGAUCAGAUACCGUCGUAGUCUUAACCAUAAACUAUGCCGACUAGGGAUCGGAUGAUGUUAAUUUUUUAAUGACUCAUUCGGCGCCUUACGGGAAAC